UUUUUACACCACACAAAAAUACACAAAAUAAAGAAAAACCAAAUCAGACUUUUUCUCUCUCAAACCAAUGCAUCUUCUCUCCUUUCCCACCUUCUCUCCCUCAUCUUUCUCUUUCUCCUCUUUCUCCCUCUCACUGCCGCUAGCAACCAUCGGAGUUCGGCAAACUUUUUGCUGGCAAACCACCAUCUCCCCCAACAAGCACCACUGCCUACACUACCUUUCCCUUUUCCUCUUCCCUCUUCCCCUUUUAUCUCAACGGAGGUGAUUACCGACGAGCUACAAGUGAAUCCCAACACCACCACCAUUCAGGUGACUGUCGGGAUCAACCAAAAACGAUGCCAACUCCAGUGAACGGCACACCGCCAAUGUUUUUCAUUGAAACUUCGAUGGAUUUAAUAUUUGGUUAGCAAAUAACUGUUGUGGUGACAAUUCUCAUGCUCUGUCUACUUAAUUUGCUUUGAUGUUAAUAUUUUUUAAAUGGGUUUUUUCUAGCAUUUCUCAGUGAAUUUUGUUUUCAUCCUGUUAUGUGACUUAUUUUUGUUAUUUGUUUUGAUGAUAUGUGUGACUGAUUUUUAUUUUUCUCUUCCAUUCUAAUUAUUUCACGGCUAUCCAUUAUCACAUCUGGCCAAUUUCUAGUUAUUUAGUGACUUUCACUAGUUUAAGUUGAAUACUUUAUUGUUUAGUAUUAUAUUAAUUUGGAGUUAUUUUGUUAAGAUAAUGUAUUGAUUUUCAUAUAUUUUUUUGUUUUAUUUAAAGUUUAAUCGGUGUGGCAUUUUAUUUUAAUGUCUUUUUAAUUUAGAUCCUACUUACCAUUGUUAAAUUGACCAAUGAAAUUAUCUCUCCGACUUGAUAUUUGAGGCUAUCCCAUUACAAAAGACGGAUUUUAUUUUAUCAAAAUUAUUAUUUAUAUUAAGGACCGACACUUAGCAGAUGAAGAAAUUUUCGAUUGAUUUUUGAGGCCAAAUAAAAGACGGCUAUUACAUAUAUAAAUACGUAAUAAAAUAAAUAAAUUUGGGUGAUGAUGAAAUUUUUAUAACAAUGCAAAGAGUUUUAUGAUUCCAAUAUCUUGGCAAGACGAUUUAGGACGGCUAAUAAAUCAACAAUCAUAUCGUAGCCAUGCCAUUUUAAAAUCUAAUCUGAGGCCACACUUUUUAACAAAAUUAAAUUUUUAAAUACAUAUAUGCACACGUACUUUUAUAAUUUAUUUUGUUAUUAUUUAUUUGUUACUAACAUUAUUAUUACAAGUGUUUAUAUAAGUUAUUAGGAAUAUUCAUCGGGAAUAACAUGCAAAGAAGAACUUAAGUUUUACAUUUGUAUUUUUAUAUUCUUUUAUACUUGUACAAAUACUAUUAUAGAGAAAGCUUUAUUUUUGGGUGUUGGGAGGGAUAUUCUUUGUUUACGCAAUUCUUAUCGCGUGUUAGGCAAAUUUAGGUCGUUACUAUUUAUAUAAAAGAAUUAAAUUGAUUUAGAUAUUAAAUCAAAUAAUUCAUAUUUUUUACGCUAAAACCAUUACGUAAUCUUUUCCUUUGAACUAAUUUUUCUUUAUUUAAUCUUUUCAUUUUUCAUACAUAUUCUCAUGUACUUUCGUUUAUUUUCAUACUCGUUUUAUACAUAUAUUUUUACAAUAACACAUGCAAUUUAUACAUUCUUUAUACAUAAAUUGUUUAUAUUGUUAUAAUAUGCAUUUUUGUAUUUGUACUUACAAACAUCAAUUUUUUCUCUUUCUUUUAAUAAACCUAAGUCUGGUCGGGAACCACAUUUGUGGAUUUUGAAGGGUACCUAAUACCUUCCUUUUGGAAUAAUUUGAACCCUCACUUAGAAUUUAAAUUGGUUUCGUAGAUUAGAAUAAAGUCAUACUUAUUAAAUAAAUAAAUAGGUUUCCCAUUUUUCCUUAAAAAUUAGGUGGUGACUCUGUAUAAAAUCAAUUCUUUUUGAGUCCAUAAUGUCGUACUCAUUUUGACCUUAGGUAAAAAUAGGGUACGACAAUUGGUAGUGGUGGUGAUAUUGGUAUUGGUGGUGGUAUUUAUGGUGGUGUUAGUGGUCUUGGUAGUGGUAUUGGUGGUGUUGGUGGUCUUGGUAUUUCUAUUAGUGGCAUUGGUGGUGGUAUUUGUAUUGGUGGUAUUGGUAUUGGUGGUGGUAUUAAUGGUGGUAUUGGUGGUGUUGGUAGUGGUGUUGGUGGUCUUGGUGUUUGUAUAGGCGGAAUUGGGGGUGUUGGUGGUGUUGGUGUUGGUAUUAGUGGUCUUGGUGGUGGUGUUGGUAUUGGUGGCAUUGUUGGUGUUGGUAUCGGUGGCAUUGGUUGUGUUGGUGGUGUUGGUAGUGGUGGUAUUAGUGGUGGUUUUGGUGUUGGUGUUAGUGGUGGUUUUGGUUUUGGUGUUGGUGUUAGUGGUGGUUUUGGUUUUGGUGUUGGUGUUGGUGUUAGUGGUUCAUCUACUGCAAUAGGUGGAACAUUUAUUGGGAGAUAUUAAAAUAGGUCUUCAAACAAAUUCCCACCUAUUGCAACAAAUGUUUCAGUUGUUGGGAUUAAAACAAACUAGUAGCAAGACUGUUUUGAUCUCAUCCAUCAGAUUGUUCAUUUGUUGGAGCAGAUUAUACAUCUGCCGUAUUAGAUGAUUCAUCUGUUCCAACUGUUGGGUUAUCUGUUGGAAUAUUUUUUUGUAAUGUGGCGUAUAAAAAUUUAUUGAAAUUUGUCUUACCUUUUUUUAAAAAUUAUGCAGACAUCAAUUAUAAUGUGAUUUUUCUUUUUCUGUUGUUUGUAGUUAAAAGAUGCCUCCCAAAAGAAAAAAAAAUUGAAAGUGGAUCAACUUCUGACCACCUAACAAAAAAGGCUAGAGUACAAAUGGAUUUAGAGGAAUUUCCUGAUCAAUCCCAAUCUGGGAAAAGUGAAGCUGAGGAAUGUUAUGAAAAUGAUGUUGAGGGAGGUGGAGAAGACUAUGUAUAGGCUGGUAAGGAAAAUAAAAGUGAGGAGAAAGAAUAAUAAGAUAAACAAGAAGAGGAGGAAGUAGAAAGUGAAAAAGAUGAUGAUGAUCAACAUGAUGAUAGUGCAUCACCAAUGGGGUGUGAAUUAAGAUUGAAAUUCUAGCAUGAUCAGGUCAAAACUAUUAGUAUUGAUAGGUUUCAAGUUACGAUACUGAUAGAUGACCCUGCAGAACUAACUGGUGAUUUUUUUACUUAAAUCUCAGUUGGGAAACCUUUUAAUGACUUUAGGAAUACUAUGAAGAAGGAAAAACUAGAUGGAUUUUUUAAGAAGAAUUGCUUGGGAGACUUUCUUGAUCUGGCUGAGGACAACAAUGCUUGUUUCCAAUUGAGCAUGAUAUAUGGUCUUCUCAAGCACAGGAUCAAGUACGUAGGGGAUGAUAAAUAUCUUAAGGAGGAAGGGGGGCAAAAAGAUGGAUGAAAUCUAGAUCAACUACUGUGGUAUGCCGGUUUGUUUUGGCAUGAAAGAGUUUCCCAUAGUGAUAGGCUUGAGAUACGAUCAUACACAAUAACCACUCAUCAAAGAAACAUCCCACAAAAAUUCCAAGACAAAUAAGACAGCCAAAGCACCACCAUCAAAUAAAGGGAAGGCAUUGUCCAAGCGACAACCUACCAAAACCAACAAACGUAAGGAAAAAAUAGAUGGGUUGUUAGACAUUGUUGGGCGUGGCUACAGAGCCAUAAUGUUGUUAGAAGAUCUCAAGGAUAAAGUCAUAACAAAGAAGUACAAAGAGUAAUUGUGCUUAGUUUGGUUUGCUCAUUCUGUUAUAUUGGCAAGAGAUGUCUACAAAGUCAUAGAAGAUGAUUUGUUGGGGUUUGCUGAGGAUCUUGAGAAAUCCAACAAUCAUCUCUGGGGAUAUGACAACUACAAGUUGACUGUCAAAUAUUUAUUGAUAAAGCUAUCCCCAAAGACGGUCACCUUGUACAUCUUUACUUCGGCUUUCAUGGCUUGGGUGUUUGAAGUCAUUUCUCCCCUCCAAAAGUAGGACCAGGAUUAUUCAGAUGAGGUUUCUUAUCCAAGGAUCCUUAUGUGGUUAGCUGCAGAAAGCAACACAAGAAUUAAGGAGGUUGAUCUCUUUAACAGUCUAGAUGAUGCAGAAAUUAACGUACCCGGAAGCUUAUGAUGCUGGCGAUAGGAUAAUGGACCUCAAUUUCUACAAUAAUUUCAAGGAUAGGUAUGAUGAGCUCAUUCAGCUAGCGUCAACUCUAGAUAGCCCGGUAUUUGAUUUAUUAGUUUCUAGAUUACAAUGAGAUGAAGAUAUGAUUAAUUAUGUCAGAUGAAAGAGGCCAUAUCCACACCGAAAGAGUUAGAUCAAGGUCAAGAGAAUUCUUGCAGUAAUGAAUGUGGAGGUAAAAGAUUUUCUGGCUCUUGAGAUACUACUCAAGGAUGGAAUGAUGAAGGUUUAUGACUGCAACGAACCUGUCUUUGACGAGGAUGAUUAUUUUACCCAUAUGUAGCCACUAUUUGAUUUAUUCCCCAACUUGUUGAGGCAGAGUAAACUAAUGGAUCAUUUUCCAGUGAAAGUGCUGAAUGAAAGAUGGGAUUUUAAGGUCGAAACAAGGACAUAAACCUUCUAAGAAAUGAAAUCAGUGCCGCAUGCAGGUCAUAUGCACUUGAAUACAUCGAAUAUUUACUGAUCGGUAUAGAAAUGGCCGAGCCAAUGACCUUUCUGUGUGACAACAUUGUGGCAAGGAUACAAGAGGUGUGGGCUUAUGGGGUAUUGAUUAAAGGUUGGAUCCUGUGAAUAUAAACGAAGAAGAUGUAGAAACACAAACACCACCAUGACAAUUUUUAUUUCAAGUCACUUUACAUGUAGUGACAAUUGUUUAUGUUUGAUGAAAGUUGAAUUAUUUAUAAUGCAACCGAUUGCCUAUACGUUGUAACAAAUAGUCUAUCUAUUCUAAUAGAUUGAUUAUCUGUUGCAAUAGGUUGAUCAUCUGUUGCAUUAUAUAGAUGUUUAUAUCUAAGUCUAUCUGUUACAACAGAUAGACUAUUUAUUGCAAUAUAUAGUCUAUCUAUUGCAACAGAUAAGUCAUUUAUUAGAACAAAUCAAAUUAGUAGGAACACCUGCUUGAUAAUUUCCAACAGAUGACCUACAUGUUACCACAUAUGUCAAAAUCGGUUUGAUACUUUCCAACAGAUAUCGCGUCUGUUGCAACAGAUGCAUUAUUUGCUGUAAAAUUUGAAUCUAGUAUUUUAUUUCAAUUAAUAAGUUCAAAUCUAAGGAUAAAAUAAAAUUCAUAGACAAAAUAAAAUAAAUUGAAG